rnacentral:lncRNA from 1 species
AACAAGGAACUCGGAGGAAAGGGCAAAAGUGCUCUCUCUCACAAAGCAAAAGAGUAGGUCAAGCAAAAAAACACAACUUUUAAAUUUUUUAAUCAACGAUUUUUAAAUUUAUUAAACUAAAAUUAUUACCAAAAAUGCAGUUUUUAUUUUGUUAUUGCGUUUUGGGUGUUCGGACCUGACAUUUAAGUAUAAGGAUGUACCUAGAGCAUCCUGCCAGGUGACACAUUUUUCUAGCUGAUAGCUCUUCCUGAGGUGAAUGGGUUUUGCAAGAGACUUUGGGUUGUAGUAAAAAAAAAACAAACACCACAAUCUCCUGCACUUUGUAGGGUGGAAUCCUUCCCGCCACCAAGGAGAUUCUGUCUCAAAUAUCAACUGCAACAAGGAACAGAAUGGAGCAUGAAUGUAGGAGACAGCACUUGCCACCCACCCACUCAUGAAAGCAAGAAAUCAAAGCAAGCAAAGAUAUCAUAUAAAUGGAGUCAACAACACCUGUGCAUUUGGAAAGGCUAGUAACUGUGGCUCAAGAUGCUUGCGUUUAAUGUAAAAUACAAGACUGUUCUAAUCCAGCCUCAUCAAGUCCCAGAGUCUUACACUGCCCUCAACUUCAUCAUGCCAUAGAUUCUGAAAGCAGCAUAUUAAGUGGAAAGGAUCUCUAAACAAGAAAACCAAGUCAUCCUUUCAAAUGACACCAGACCACAAUGUGAUGUGAAUUAAAAAAAAAAAAAACACACUGUAUGUAAUGAAAGAAACUACAGAAUUCAAAAGCAGUGUCUGUGACAUAAUUAGCACAUAAAUUAACAACAUGAGAAUAACAGGUAUUUUUAAAACAUAUCGCUUAGCUACUUUCUGAAACAUAUAGUGUAAAACCGUGCAGAACACGAACUAGCCACCGAGCUUGUUGAAAUACACUUGCUGAAAAUGCUCCAGAGUUUAGGCAGA